CGGUAACAGGAAGCAGCUUGCUGCUUCGCUGACGAGUGGCGGACGGGUGAGUAAUGUCUGGGAAGCUGCCUGAUGGAGGGGGAUAACUACUGGAAACGGUAGCUAAUACCGCAUAAUGUCGCAAGACCAAAGAGGGGGACCUUCGGGCCUCUUGCCAUCGGAUGUGCCCAGAUGGGAUUAGCUUGUUGGUGGGGUAACGGCUCACCAAGGCGACGAUCCCUAGCUGGUCUGAGAGGAUGACCAGCCACACUGGAACUGAGACACGGUCCAGACUCCUACGGGAGGCAGCAGUGGGGAAUAUUGCACAAUGGGCGCAAGCCUGAUGCAGCCAUGCCGCGUGUAUGAAGAAGGCCUUCGGGUUGUAAAGUACUUUCAGCGGGGAGGAAGGGAGUAAAGUUAAUACCUUUGCUCAUUGACGUUACCCGCAGAAGAAGCACCGGCUAACUCCGUGCCAGCAGCCGCGGUAAUACGGAGGGUGCAAGCGUUAAUCGGAAUUACUGGGCGUAAAGCGCACGCAGGCGGUUUGUUAAGUCAGAUGUGAAAUCCCCGGGCUCAACCUGGGAACUGCAUCUGAUACUGGCAAGCUUGAGUCUCGUAGAGGGGGGUAGAAUUCCAGGUGUAGCGGUGAAAUGCGUAGAGAUCUGGAGGAAUACCGGUGGCGAAGGCGGCCCCCUGGACGAAGACUGACGCUCAGGUGCGAAAGCGUGGGAGCAAACAGGAUUAGAUACCCUGGUAGUCCACGCCGUAAACGAUGUCGACUUGGAGGUUGUGCCCUUGAGGCGUGGCUUCCGGAGCUAACGCGUUAAGUCGACCGCCUGGGGAGUACGGCCGCAAGGUUAAAACUCAAAUGAAUUGACGGGGGCCCGCACAAGCGGUGGAGCAUGUGGUUUAAUUCGAUGCAACGCGAAGAACCUUACCUGGUCUUGACAUCCACGGAAGUUUUCAGAGAUGAGAAUGUGCCUUCGGGAACCGUGAGACAGGUGCUGCAUGGCUGUCGUCAGCUCGUGUUGUGAAAUGUUGGGUUAAGUCCCGCAACGAGCGCAACCCUUAUCCUUUGUUGCCAGCGGUCCGGCCGGGAACUCAAAGGAGACUGCCAGUGAUAAACUGGAGGAAGGUGGGGAUGACGUCAAGUCAUCAUGGCCCUUACGACCAGGGCUACACACGUGCUACAAUGGCGCAUACAAAGAGAAGCGACCUCGCGAGAGCAAGCGGACCUCAUAAAGUGCGUCGUAGUCCGGAUUGGAGUCUGCAACUCGACUCCAUGAAGUCGGAAUCGCUAGUAAUCGUGGAUCAGAAUGCCACGGUGAAUACGUUCCCGGGCCUUGUACACACCGCCCGUCACACCAUGGGAGUGGGUUGCAAAAGAAGUAGGUAGCUUAACCUUCGGGAGGGCGCUUACCACUUUGUGAUUCAUGACUGGGGUGAAGUCGGAACAAGGUA
rnacentral:rRNA from 1 species